rnacentral:rRNA from 1 species
AUAUUGGACAAUGGGGGAAACCCUGAUUCAGCAAUGCCGCGUGAGUGAAGAAGGCCUUAGGGUUGUAAAGCUCUUUCGCCCGCGAAGAUAAUGACGGUAGCGGGAGAAGAAGCCCCGGCUAACUCCGUGCCAGCAGCCGCGGUAAUACGGAGGGGGCUAGCGUUGUUCGGAAUUACUGGGCGUAAAGCGUACGUAGGCGGAUGCGCAAGUUGGGGGUGAAAUCCCGGGGCUUAACCUCGGAAUUGCCCUCAAAACUGCACGUCUUGAGACCGAGAGAGGUAAGGGGAAUUCCUAGUGUAGAGGUGAAAUUCGUAGAUAUUAGGAAGAACACCAGUGGCGAAGGCGCCUUACUGGCUCGGUACUGACGCUGAGGUACGAAAGCGUGGGGAGCAAACA